CCUCCUUCCCUAGGAUGACCUCGCAGUCCUUGGGGAUGCGGACUGUUUAAUUAGAACACCUUCAGUCGGAAACGCUCAUCCAUUUAUAGGGAAAACAGCAACAGGCUUUUAAGGACAUGCCAUAAGUUUUACAGUUAUUGGAUUUUUCAACUUGUUUACAAAAGCAAUAUUGUUAAAUGGCCAACGGCCAGGCCCAGUUGUUUUUCCUCCUGUGCCUUCUGACGACAGGAAGGCAUAUUAUCUCCCCCCAGCCAGCUCCCGGGAGCCAGAUCUGCUCUGGAAUGCAGCAAAGAGCUCCUUCCUGCUUUCUCAGCCCCUGCAGCAGCUCCUGCUUCACUCCAAGAAAAUGCCAGCCCCCUAAGAACCUGUCCCUUUGGAACAGUGGAUCCAAAAGCUGACCCAAGAGACCUUGAACUUAACACCUCUGUGUCAUGGGCUCCUUAAUGAUAGAAAGAAGAUUGCUUUAGAAGACUGGUUUGCAAACCAGUCUGCUGGGCACUAGAAGCCUUGGGAAGAUUUGAAAAAUAAAUCUUAUUGGCCUCACCAUUUCACAUUCUGACUUAGAGGGUGUGGGCUCUCUAAUCUGAUUGUGUUUUUUUCUGUUUUUGUUUUUGUUUUUGAGACAGAGUCUUACUCUUUUGCCCAGGCUGGAGUGCAGUGGCGCGAUCUCGGCUCACUGCAACCUCCACCUCCCAGUUUCAAGCGAUUCUCCUGCCUCAGCCUCCCGAGUAGCUGGAAUUACAGGCAUGCACCACCACACCUAACUAAUUUUUGUAUUUUUAGUAGAGACGGGGUUUCACCAUGUUAGCCAGGCUGAUCAUGAACUCCUGACCUCAAGUGAUCCGUCCACCUUGG
rnacentral:lncRNA from 1 species